GUGGGGUGCCAGAAGCCUAGGAUAAGGGGGAGGACUUAAGAUCCUCUGGCGUAGGCCUUCGUGGGUUCAAAUCCCACCCCCCGCA
rnacentral:tRNA from 1 species